CAGCAGCCGCGGUAAUACGAGGGGGGCAAGCGUUGUUCGGAAUUAUUGGGCGUAAAGGGUGCGUAGGCGGUUUGGCAAGUUUGGUGUGAAAUCUUCGGGCUCAACCCGAAGUCUGCAUCAAAAACUGCCGGGCUUGAGUAUGGGAGAGGUGAGUGGAAUUUCCGGUGUAGCGGUGAAAUGCGUAGAUAUCGGAAGGAACACCUGUGGCGAAAGCGGCUCACUGGACCAUAACUGACGCUGAUGCACGAAAGCUAGGGGAGCAAACAGGAUUAGAUACCCCAGUAGUCCCUGUCUCUUAUAC
rnacentral:rRNA from 1 species